rnacentral:misc_RNA from 1 species
GUAGGUGAACCUGCGGAAGGAUCAUUAGAGAUGAAACGAGUGCCACAGAAUGCUGCCGGUCAGGCAGCAGGUCGGGGGACCGUAAGCCUUCUGCUGGCUUUACUGGCAACUCGGCAGAGCCGAGUUGGGAGUAGAGCGGGGUUGUUGACUCUGCUCCAAACCAACUCGGCGAGGUCGACUAUAACAACUCGGCUUGCCGAGUUGCCAGCAAAAGUUGCCAGUGAAAAUUAAACAUUGAACACUCCAUCUA